CUAACAAGGAUUCCCCUAGUAACUGCGAGUGAAGCGGGAAAAGCUCAAAUUUAAAAUCUGGCGGUCUUUGGCCGUCCGAGUUGUAGUCUGGAGAAGUGCUUUCCGCGCUGGACCGUGUACAAGUCUCUUGGAACAGAGCGUCAUAGAGGGUGAGAAUCCCGUCUUUGACACGGACUACCAGUGCUUUGUGAUGUGCUCUCAAAGAGUCGAGUUGUUUGGGAAUGCAGCUCAAAAUGGGUGGUAAAUUCCAUCUAAAGCUAAAUAUUGGCGAGAGACCGAUAGCGAACAAGUACCGUGAGGGAAAGAUGAAAAGCACUUUGGAAAGAGAGUUAAACAGUACGUGAAAUUGCUGAAAGGGAAACGCUUGAAGUCAGUCGCGUUGGCCAGGACUCAGCCUUGCUUUUGCUUGGUGCAUUUUCUGGUUGACGGGCCAGCAUCGAUUUUGACCGCUGGAAAAAGGUUAGGGGAAUGUGGCACCUUCGGGUGUGUUAUAGCCCUUAGUCGCAUACAGUGGUUGGGAUCGAGGACCGCAGCACGCCUUUAUGGCCGGGGUUCGCCCACGUUCGUGCUUAGGAUGCUGGCGUAAUGGCUUUAAACGACCCGUCUUGAAACACGGACCAAGGAGUCUAACAUGCCUGCGAGUGUUUGGGUGGAAAACCCGAGCGCGUAAUGAAAGUGAAAGUUGAGAUCCCUGUCGUGGGGAGCAUCGACGCCCGGACUUGAACUUCGGUGAUGGAUCUGCGGUAGAGCAUGUAUGUUGGGACCCGAAAGAUGGUGAACUAUGCCUGAAUAGGGUGAAGCCAGAGGAAACUCUGGUGGAGGCUCGUAGCGAUUCUGACGUGCAAAUCGAUCGUCAAAUUUGGGUAUAGGGGCGAAAGACUAAUCGAACAUCU
rnacentral:rRNA from 1 species